GAGAUGUGAUGAGUACUAUCAAUUUGGUCCGUGUUUCUGAUCAAACCGUGACUGAUUACCCUUUAACCAAUACUCUGAUCUC